GUGAUCCCGCCAUGAGGUUCAUCCCACGACCCUGGGAUCAUGACCUGAGCGGAAGGCAGACACUUCACCGACUGAGCCACCCAGGCGUCCCUGAAUUGUAUUAAAUUCUUACAUUCAUAUGAGAAACGAUGGGAAAUGUGCUACUAAAUACUUCAUCCAGGAGCAUGGGACUUCAGUUCUUUGGAGUUACUAUAAUUCACUUCAUAAUAAUGAAGUUCCAGAUAUAUUCAACACAUCAAGAAAGCAUUGCCUGAUUGGAUUUCAGAAAGGAUUCUACACCUCAGAGAGAGACACAGCAAGAGAGGAAAC